rnacentral:tRNA from 1 species
GUGGGUAUAGCUCAGCUGGUAGAGCACCGGAUUGUGGUUCCGGUCGUCGCGGGUUCAAGUCCCGUUACUCACCCCA